rnacentral:rRNA from 1 species
UACGGAGGGGGCUAGCGUUGUUCGGAAUUACUGGGCGUAAAGCGCACGUAGGCGGAUUGAAAAGUUGGGGGUGAAAUCCCGGGGCUCAACCUCGGAACUGCCUCCAAAACUAUCAAUCUGGAGUUCGAGAGAGGUGAGUGGAAUUCCGAGUGUAGAGGUGAAAUUCGUAGAUAUUCGGAGGAACACCAGUGGCGAAGGCGGCUCACUGGCUCGAUACUGACGCUGAGGUGCGAAAGCGUGGGGAGCAAACAGG